UGCGUAGGUGGCGAGCGUUGUCCGGAUUUACUGGGCGUAAAGCGCGCGCAGGCGGUUCUGUAAGUCCUGGGUGAAAUCGCCCGGCUCAACUGGGCGGGGGCCUGGGGGACUGCGGGACUGGAGGGGCCUAGAGGCCGGUGGAACUCCCGGUGUAGUGGUGAAAUGCGUAGAGAUCGGGAAGAACACCAGUGGCGAAGGCGGCCGGCUGGGGGCGCCCUGACGCUGAGGCGCGAGAGCGUGGGGAGCGAACCGG
rnacentral:rRNA from 1 species